rnacentral:rRNA from 1 species
ACUUUUCAACAACGGAUCUCUUGGAUUCCGGCAUCGAUGAAGAACGCAGCGAAAUGCGAUAAGUAAUGUGAAUUGCAGAAUUCCGUGAAUCAUCGAAUCUUUGAACGCACAUUGCGCCCCUCUGGUAUUCCGGGGGGCAUGCCUGAUCGAGCGUCA